rnacentral:rRNA from 1 species
GAUUAGUGGCGAACGGGUGAGUAACACGUGGGCAAUCUGCCCUUCACUCUGGGACAAGCCCUGGAAACGGGGUCUAAUACCGGAUACCACUCCUGCCUGCAUGGGCGGGGGUUGAAAGCUCCGGCGGUGAAGGAUGAGCCCGCGGCCUAUCAGCUUGUUGGUGGGGUAAUGGCCCACCAAGGCGACGACGGGUAGCCGGCCUGAGAGGGCGACCGGCCACACUGGGACUGAGACACGGCCCAGACUCCUACGGGAGGCAGCAGUGGGGAAUAUUGCACAAUGGGCGAAAGCCUGAUGCAGCGACGCCGCGUGAGGGAUGACGGCCUUCGGGUUGUAAACCUCUUUCAGCAGGGAAGAAGCGAAAGUGACGGUACCUGCAGAAGAAGCGCCGGCUAACUACGUGCCAGCAGCCGCGGUAAUACGUAGGGCGCAAGCGUUGUCCGGAAUUAUUGGGCGUAAAGAGCUCGUAGGCGGCUUGUCACGUCGGAUGUGAAAGCCCGAGGCUUAACCUCGGGUCUGCAUUCGAUACGGGCUAGCUAGAGUGUGGUAGGGGAGAUCGGAAUUCCUGGUGUAGCGGUGAAAUGCGCAGAUAUCAGGAGGAACACCGGUGGCGAAGGCGGAUCUCUGGGCCAUUACUGACGCUGAGGAGCGAAAGCGUGGGGAGCGAACAGGAUUAGAUACCCUGGUAGUCCACGCCGUAAACGUUGGGAACUAGGUGUUGGCGACAUUCCACGUCGUCGGUGCCGCAGCUAACG